rnacentral:lncRNA from 1 species
GGUUUUGCUCUGCUGAAGCACAGAACAGCUUCCAAGCUGCAAAGUCUUUCCACAGCCCCCAGAUGAGAAAGAGUAAUCAGAUUCUAAGCUCAACGCUGUUUCGCAUCAGCUGACUCCAUUAGUAUAUUCCAGAAAGCUCCAGUCAGAAAGCAAUAAGGAACAUGCCCAUAACCUAAUUAAAUGUCCAUAGGUUCGCCAAACUACCCAGACAUCUCUGGAAAUGGACUUUGUCUGGUCAGCUUCCCUUUAAAUAAGGACAUUAAGGGAACCUUCAGAAGAGGCUAUGCUUAACCAAUAUUCUCACUGCACACCUGUCAGGAGUUAAGCUAUCGGGGGGAGGGAAUGUUAGACCUCCAAUCUCAGCCCUCCAAUCCCUUCCAAACUUCAUGAAGCAGCUCAAAGUCCUGUGACAUGGAGCCAUUUCUUUCUAGGUAGCACAACAGUACUCUUUCAUAUUCACCUGCCUCCUUGAUAUACAGAAACCAGAAAGUAAGUUGAGGCUCUUGUUUGGGGUCUGUCAAAGCAAGCUACAGUACUCAGAGAAACCUGUCCCCCAAGCUCCUGGAGAACAAAGUGGUGAACAAAAAAACA